rnacentral:lncRNA from 1 species
CAUGAUGGGUUGUAUCCGACUGAUUCAAGGUGAGGAGGUGAGCACGGGUAUUUAAAAUAAAACUGUAAUAGCUUCAAGGGCAUUACCCACCUCAAACCUGAGCUAAGAUAUUUUUAAAAUAUAUAUUUUUUUAAAUGAUUAUUUUCUAUCUUUGGUUUCCUAAAAAAUGAUAUCAAUUUAUUGUUUAUAUUAUUGGUGAAUAUUUAGUUCAUUGUGUUUUAUGUCUUGAAAUUUUAUUUUGUUUAAUAUUAUGUGAAGCACUGUGGUUUAAUAUUACAUUAUUUUCAUUUGUUUGGUUUGUACA